CUUUGGUGGCGACCGGCGCACGGGUGCGCAACGCGUAUGCAACCUACCUUUAAACAGGGGCAUAACACUGAGAAAUUGGUACUAAUUCCCCAUAACAUUCGAGAAGGCAUCUUCUUGGGUUAAAAACUCCGGUGGUUAAAGAUGGGCAUGCGUUGUAUUAGCUAGCUGGUGAGGUAACGGCUCACCAAGGCAACGAUACAUAGGGGGACUGAGAGGUUAACCCCCCACAUUGGUACUGAGACACGGACCAA
rnacentral:rRNA from 1 species